rnacentral:rRNA from 1 species
UACGAAGGGGGCUAGCGUUGCUCGGAAUGACUGGGCGUAAAGGGCGCGUAGGCGGAUGGCACAGUCAGAUGUGAAAUUCCCGGGCUUAACCUGGGGGCUGCAUUUGAUACGUGUUGUCUUGAGUUCGGAAGAGGGUCGUGGAAUUCCCAGUGUAGAGGUGAAAUUCGUAGAUAUUGGAAAGAACACCUGUGGCGAAGGCGGCGAGCUGGUCCAUUACUGACGCUGAGGCGCGAAAGCGUGGGGAGCAAACAGG